rnacentral:rRNA from 1 species
AGUGAACGCUGGCGGCAGGCCUAACACAUGCAAGUCGAGCGGAAGCGCGGGGGUAACCCUGGCGGUGAGCGGCGGACGGGUGAGGAAUUCGUCGGAAUCUGCCUUUUUGUGGGGGAUAACGUCGGGAAACUUACGCUAAUACCGCAUACGUCCUACGGGAGAAAGUGGGGGACCGCAAGGCCUCACGCAGAAAGAUGAGCCGAGGUCCGAUUAGCUAGUUGGUGGGGUAAAGGCCCACCAAGGCGACGAUCGGUAACUGGUCUGAGAGGAUGAUCAGCCACACUGGAACUGAGACACGGCCCAGACUCCUACGGGAGGCAGCAGUGGGGAAUAUUGGACAAUGGGCGCAAGCCUGAUCCAGCCAUGCCGCGUGUGUGAAGAAGGCCUUCGGGUUGUAAAGCACUUUUGGCCGGAAAGAAGUCCCUUGAGCUAAUACCUUCGGGUGAUGACGUUACCGAAAGAAUAAGCACCGGCUAACUUCGUG